CCUGGCGACAUCCCCUCCGCAGGCACAGGGGAUGGAUUCCUCCCUUCUGGCGCUGGGCCCGGGUCCCCUGUGGCCAGGACAAGUGUCCCCAUGAGGCUGGAGCGGAGCUGAGCCAGCUGGGUCCUCCUGUACCACAGGAGGCUUCACAAAAUCACCUGCCUGGCAGCAACACCAGGUGUCCUGAGCAGGCAGCGCAUGGAAGUUCACACCAGGCCUUGGGAUGGAAAAGAAAACCCGUGUGGUGAGCAAAAGGUUCUCUGUCCAAUAAUGCAGAAUCAUCAUCAAAACCAGCUUUCUCAACCCGUCCUUCUCACAGCGUUGUCAGUAAAGUGAUCUUGCUCAGCUUUCAGAGGCCUUGUCUGAUGCAAGAAGUGAGUCAGAUCCCUCCAACACAGUUUGACCCGAUGGAUGUGGCCGGCAGACAGCUGAGCAGCAGUGUGUGGAGCUCAUGUUGUUUUGCAAAUAGAAUAAAGUUCAUUUAACACA